UGGAGCGCAAAUAUGCAAGUACCCCCCUUGUUAACGCAUAGGAGGAAUGGGUGUUUUUAAGUUUUCAACAACAGAACUCUUCCCGUCCCUGUCUCCGACACUGCACGGAGACUCCCGGUCAUGUCUCCAGCUCUUUGAAAAGAUCGGGAAGAGAGCUGGACGGAGAGAGAGAGAGAGAGAGAGGGGUGACAGUGAAUGAGAGCAGCGGGAAGAAGGCUCUAGCACGAAAACAGGAGAGAAAAAGAGAACGUGGACAGCAGGGUAUUAAAAGAAGAAGCACUCAGCGACAACUAUUAGGCUAUAGUGGACGGGAAACAUCGGUACCUGAAUUUGGCUAACACCAGCCAGGCAAGUACAACAUUUAUUUAUCUUCCACCUAUUCACAAGAAGCUCUAAAGUAAUGAACAUUACAUUCUAGCCUCGCCACACUACCAUGCAACCCAUGUAGGCAACCGUUAUCUAGUUUAUCUGUCUAAAUGUCAAACAACCACUGUUAGGCUACAUUCCAGGGCGAAACUUUUUAACCGUACUUUGGAUCCUUUCCUUGACAUCUUUACUGAUUUGCGAACCCGUUUCUCCGUUUAAAACUGUCGUCAGCAAUAUAUACGAACAUCGAACAUAUUGCUGUUACCGCAAUUCAGGGAACCCUUUCCAGGUUAUGAGCAUCUCACCUGUGCAAGGCUAUUUGUUGUAUGAUCACAUAAUGAAAUCAUCGAUAGCAACCGGUUUCUCAUCGAUAGUUUCAACGGAUUAAAGGACAUUUAUACAACCGAGCUGGUGAGGCAUAGUACAGGCAUGACGAUAGUUCUUGGAACACUUUCUGGCUGUUUUGUUUAGUCAUAUGAAAAUGUAGGGCAUUCAUGAUAAUCAAAUGAUUAUUAUUUAAUUGCAAAGUUUGCAGAUACAUUUUCAACCCCACUAUGUGAGAUAAGCAGAAUAUAUUAUGUCAAUUUAAAAGCAGUUUUUGCGAUUAUUUGGUAGAUAAUUGAUGCAUACACACAACUUACAUCGAGCGAUAAUACUGACAAAAGCAUAGGCUAGGCUUAUAUGAAAUACGAUUUUGGCGAGACUAUAUUAAACUACGAUUCCCUUGUGUCUCAGAUUUUAAGUUGAUGCUAUAAAUGCCACUUGAAGUUCCACAUGGCAGGAACUUACUAUUAAUGUCUAUGUUAUAGUUUGAGUUAGCCUAUAUUCCCUAAAACAAGACGCAUAUAAAUAUAAUUAUGUGACAUAAUUAUGUGUUAUUACCAAAAAUAUCAAAUGCCAUUCGCAGUGCAGUAUAGGCUAUAUUUGCACAUGUGGCCUAUAUGAAUCAGAUCAUGCAUAUGUUUUGCUGAGCAUCUACCGUGAGUUAGAGGUUAAAAUAGAUUAGAUAUAGGCCUAAGUGGGCUUCAAAUAUAUUUAUUAAACAUAGGCUAAAUUAGGCUAAUUUCCAAGUGAUGCGGUCUCUCUCUAUCCGUUUGUAUAACAAACAAAUAAAUAAAUGUCAGGGCAACUGCCCCCCCAUAAACACGUUUUCGCUUCUGCAAGCAGUCAAUCGAGCGUUAUGAAUUCUUGGACCAGUUGUGAAAGCAAUAAAAGGCCAUGAUAGUCUGACCUCCUACUUCGUGAACACGGAGGCAAAUAUCAGCCCAUCGGCAUUUCAGAUAAUUAAUAAACACGUUGAAGGAAAAUAGCUAAUAAUACAAUCCUCAUUGGUUCAGUUUAUGUAGGCGCUCCAGUAUAGGGAAUCUAUAAAGUCACUACACCGUUCAAAGCUUCCAGCUCCAUCUAUUGCUUUCCCUGACGUUUUAGAGGCCUCUGUCGAAAUGCCUCCUACAAAAACAAGUAUUACGUUUCUUCAGGAGAGGGUAACACACGAUCUAUGCUUUCCCAUCCACGCGCACCUUUGAGCAUCUGCCCAUAACUGAACAGCUAACUUUCUAGAAGAAAUGGCUGUGGUGUGUUGUUCCAAAAAUAUAUAACUAGCCUAUAUUUCUGCCAAGAAAAAUACAAGUGUAAAAUAACUAUGAAAAAGUGUAGAGACGUUUCAUUAACAAAUGAGGUGUGCUGCUGUCAAUUAUUGACUUAAUAUGCAUAAUAGCCUAUGUUACAUGUGCAACUACAUAUAACAAAACAUAUAUUUGUUGAGUGAGUUCCAAUAAUUACAAAUGAGAAAAUAACUUAAAUUAACAUAAGUAUGUUUUAACAGAUAACAGAAACCUCUGAAGGCAGAUGGUUCAAAAAAUCCUUCAUCUGCGUCUUUUCAAACUUUUCCCCAAUAGUGUAUCACUGAAAUGAUAUAAGAUAGACCUAUUCAAUAGUAUACUUGAAACAAGUAUUGCCUAUAGCUAAUUGUAAGAUUUGUAUUUGUUUUGAUGUGUUCAGUGUAGCCUGGUUUUGUUAUAACUGGCUCUGAACUUUGAACCACAUUUACAAAUUCAUUUGAAAAAUAAUUGUUGCAUAAUGAAUUACAUAAAGACAAAAUGAAGAUGGCCAGUGUUGCUGCUUUCUUCAGACC
ensembl:lncRNA